rnacentral:rRNA from 1 species
UACGUAGGGUGCAAGCGUUAAUCGGAAUUACUGGGCGUAAAGCGUGCGCAGGCGGUUUUGUAAGUCUGUCGUGAAAUCCCCGGGCUCAACCUGGGAAUUGCGAUGGAGACUGCAAGGCUAGAAUCUGGCAGAGGGGGGUAGAAUUCCACGUGUAGCAGUGAAAAUGCGUAGAGAUGUGGAGGAACACCGAUGGCGAAGGCAGCCCCCUGGGUCAAGAUUGACGCUCAUGCACGAAGCGUGGGGAGCAAA